GCCGGGUGUGGUGGUGCACACCUGUAAUCCCAGCUACUCAGGAGGCUGAGGCAGGGGAAUUGCUUGAACCCAGGAGAUGGAGGUUGCAGUGAGCUGAGAUCGCACCACUACACUCCAGCCUGGGUGACAGAGCGAGACUCUGUCUCAA
rnacentral:SRP_RNA from 1 species